UCACGAGCAGGCGCUGCGCCCCAACCGGCCGGCUCCUGGCGGGCCCGUUGCGGAGAAGCUCCUCAAUGGCCAGCGGCAGCUGCAGCCUCCGCCGUACACUCGCCUCACCUGAUCCCGGGAUGUUGAUUGCUCAUGCCAAAGCCUUGGAACCCUCCCCGCCCUGGGUGACUUUUCGGUGGGACCCACCUCCAGCACCCCUAUGCAUGCGCGCCAAGGGGGUGGGAGC
rnacentral:lncRNA from 1 species